AGGAAGAAGGGAAGGGCUUCUACGUGGCUCUCCGAUGGCUGACUGCAAAGCUGCACUACAGACUAUCUGGCGAUAAUAAAGAGAAGGGAAUGGCACACCCUUCAAGGUGCUCCCUGAUCAACGCUGAUUCAUAAUGCAGGAGGGCCUGGGCAGGAGAAGCCAUGCACAGUACAACUCAAGACAGAAGAUGACCAAGACAAAGAGAUAUGGCUGGUGUGGAUAAAGACAUGCCAACGGAGAAUACAUGAAACAACACCACAUUUAAACACAUAAAUUAAGGAACUACCAGGGAUAAAAAGUGAAUUUACAAAAUGCUACAACACUCCCUGCAGUGGUGGCACACACCAUUAAUCCCAGCACUCCGGAGGCAGAAAUCUCUGAUUUGAUUUCAAGGCUAGCCUGAUCUACAGUGAGUUCCAGGACAGUCAGGGCUGCACAGAGAAACCCUGUCUCAAAAACCAAAACAAAGCACAAUAAAAACACACAAAACAAAACAAACAAACAAAGGCUACAACCCGUGGCGUGCUACAACCAACAGAUAGCCCGAUAAGUUCAAACACUCAGUAGCAUGGUAUUCACAUCCACAGCCCAGGAUUUUCAGGCUCACCCUUACUCUCAGAUUCUCCGGGGCUGGAGAGAGGGUGCAAGUGUGCCCUACUCUUGCAGAGGACCCAAGUUUGGUCCCCAGCCUGUGACAGGCAGGCUGUGAUUGCCUAUAACUCUGGCUCCAGGGGGAUUUGGUGCCUCUGGCUUCCGUGGGCAUGUGUACUAACAUGUACACGCAAACAUCGAACUUAAUAUGACAAGAAUAAAUCUUUGAAAAAUGUAAGAUUUCUACAUUUAAUGACUUUAAAUGUAGUAAAUCCUAAAGAGACUUUCAUUAUUAGAAAAUGUUAGCUUUAGAAUAUCUAACUUUAUCAAAAUGAUUAUACACUAAAUCAUGACAAUUCUGUAAUGUCAAAUAUUACAAAUGGCAAAUGUAAUAGCAUAUAGUUAUAGUUUACAUGCACUGUAUAUAUUUUUAUAUAUUACAUAAUUGUGCAGUAAGACAAUCUGUUUGAAGAAAAAAAUAAGAACUUUUUUUUUUUCUUUUUGGUUUUUUGAGACAGGGUUUUACUAGGUAGACCAGGCUAUCCUGGAACUAGUCUAUAGACCAGGCUGGCCUCAAACUCACAAAGAUUGACAUUUCUCUACCUCCCAAGUGCUGAGAUCAAAGAUGUGCACCACCAUGCCAGGCACAUACUCGUUUUCUUAUUUAUCCUUCCAACUCUCACUCUGUAAAGGAGGAAAAGGAAGCUCAGAGAGGAUGUGAAAUUGGCAUAAGGUCACACCACUGGUAAGUGACAGAGAUGAGAGUGGAACCUCGGCUUCCUCCUCCAUCUCAGGCUUCCUGCCACCACGGAGGACCUCACUCACUCACUCGGAUGCUGGGUACAAUGAGUCACUCGUCUGCCUUUAAAAUCGCUUCAAUUGUUCUGGGAAACCGUUAGCUCACAGAAGCAUCUGCUGGCUCCUCACAGGCCCCUGUCCAGUCCCUUUCCUUCUGAUGCCACUGUUUUCUAAUUUUCAAUAAUUAAUAAUAAUUUUCCUUGAUUAAACAUUCUAAGUGUGGUAGGCUUGAUUUUCACAGAUUCAUUCUUUCUCUUGAACUCAGUUUUUCCUGCUCUUUAAAAAAAAAGAGUGUAACUCAGUUGCCUCCCUGAGGAUUCAUGGCAAUCCUGGAAAUCCCAUUAUGGCUGAGACCACAACAAAAAGCAUCCCCCAGUGCUGUGUGGAGAUGGAGGGAUGUGGGCCAUGGCGUGGGGGGGUUCCAGAUGCGGUGAGCAGACUCCAGCUUGGCUGACUCAGAGGCCAGCCAGCAGCUCAGCCCAGAAGCAGGGCAGGAGGUAGGGACUGAGGUUUCCUAGGGUCCCCUGGGAAGCCCUGUCCCUUCCUAGACCAGCACCUCUGGGAAAAGGAGAUUGAAGAGAUGCAGGGCUGCAUACAGUCUCACUACUGUGUACUAAGAUGUGCUCUGCAGGGAUGUGCUGCCCAUAUUCAUCCAACUGGCCUCCAGAGCAGAGAGGCCCUUGCUCAGACACAACUCUACUUGGAGAGUCCCUUGUGUUGUACCAAAGGGACAGUGUGGCCUGAGCCUCAUUCCUGAGUAGUGCUCUACAAACCAAGGCCAGAGGAGCUGAGCAUACCCUGGGGAAGGGCAGGGGUUCAUUAUUGUCUAAGACAGUGAGUUCCUAAAUCCCUCGGCAAAACACCCAGACUCCAGCACCUGCUGCACCUCAGGCCCUGAGUGGUUAGCCUCAUGUCACAGUGGUGAGGACAGGGUGAGUGACUGGGGACCUAGUCUUGUGAAGCUGGGCAGCGGACAUCUACACUUUUGUACUCCCUCAACAGCCAGGGCUAUAGAAAUGGUGCGCUGUUGCCAACAGUGCAGGAACCCAGAGAAGUCUUUUCUGUUGUACUAGCCAACCACAGGAGAUAUUUCUAGGCCUGCAACAUAAACCAGAUGCUUGAAUCCUGACAGCCGACUCCUCCCUGACAGGGCUCCUCACAGCCUGGGAGCAGGUCUGGGCGCAUGCGCGUCCCCAGAGCAAAGUACACAGAGCUGCUUGGUGAACGUGAGGUGAGGAGACGGAGAAUCAGGGGGCAUGUUUGUGUUACCCCAGACAACAACCUGAUGAGAUGGCCGUGCUACUAUUGGACUAUGUUGGUGUCCAUGACCCAUCCUACCACCAGAGACGAUGCUGAGGUCCACGGCACUUGCUGACACAAGGGUGGAUAUCAGUGCUGUCACCAGAAACCAUGUAGAAGCCCAUGAACCUCACUCCUGUUGACUAUGAAGGACAAGGAAGCAUCUGCUGUACUGGUACUGAUGACUGAGGACUCACAUUUGAGAAACAUAGAAGACUCCUGUGAUAACCUCCCUUCCCCAUACACACACACACAUACACACACACACACACACACACACACACACACACACACACACACACACACCCCUAACAACCUAGAAGGAAACCAUCGAGGAGAUGUGGAGAGGAGGCUGAAGUGUGGCUCUCCAUGGUAGGUGGCUCUGGCAGGGUGCGGUUAGUGGGAAGGACUCACUUUUAAGGGCUGGCCACCGAGAGUGUGGCCAUGUUCCAGUGACUGUACAGACAGCACAAACUGGACUUGGCUGGUGUUUUGUUUUGUUUGAUUCUUUUUUGAGCUACAAGGGUUAAGGGGACAGACUUGGAAGUAAGGGUGACCAGGGUGCAUUGUAUAAAAUUCCCAAAUAAUCAAUAAAAAUAUGUUUGAGAGAGAGAGACCAGAGAGACGAGAGACGAGAGACGAGAGACGAGAGAGAGAGAGAGAGAGAGAGAGAGAGAGAGAGAGAGAGAGAGAACGCGUGAGAGCUCAGCCCUUGGUAAGAUAUCUGUAUCUGCCCCCCCCCCCCCCAUCUCCUCUCUGGCUCAGGGCACACUGUGGAAGAGGGGUGGAGAGAACAGUAAGAGUGAGAGGUUAGAGAAGCCCUGUGCCACGCUGUCUUCUGACAUACAUGUCUAUGGCACACAAACUCACAGCAGCUAAAGUAAUCCACAACACAAGAUCAAGCCGGCCAAAAUCCUGGCACAGACAGGAGACAACCUGCAGGCUCCACACCACACUGAGGAGCUCUGGUAGUGGGUAGCUGCUGGGGAAGGAGAAGAGUUCUCUAUUGAGGGCAUCAUUUCUGUAGUUCCCAUGCUGCAGUGGAUGGCCCACCCCACUCACUCCUGGGCAGCACCACAUGGGCUUGGUGGGUUACUUUAAAAAACUUGUAUGAAAUUGGGAGAGGCUGUGGAGGGGGAAUAAAAGGAGGAUCUGAAGGCAGAAGAUGUGGGUAGAUGGGCUCAUAUUUCAUUGUAUAUAUGCAUGAAACUCUCAAAAAUAAGGGAAAAAAACAAACAAGAUAGAUGAAACAAAUGCUUGAUAGAAACAAAUAACUUCUUGAAGUUGUGUCAAGAAGUCUCAGUAAACUCUUUAAUAACCAAAAAAAAAAAAAAAAAAAACCUUUUAAAUAACUAAAAAAAAAUUUGAGAAAGUUGCUAAAAUUGAGAAGCAUGACAUCAACUUGAUUCCUAACACUCAUCCAUAAAGCCUCCUGAGGAAAUCAGACACUAUCCCCACAGCUUCCGAGCACAAAGAAAGCCACAACGAUCUGCAGUUCUUUUUUAGGACUGGUAUAUCUGUUGUGGUAAAGCCUGGCAGAUUUGGCACAAGGGGCCAUUGGGGCCUCCUAAAGAAUGAAGAGACCAGAUGAUAGCGCUCCCCACAGAGCCAUAGACUAUCUAACAGAAACCCCAACACCAGCUAUGAGAAGCCCUUUUUUGAGCUGUUGGUCAGAGAUGUCCAAGAGACUCAAAAUAUUAGAGCCUACUGCUAUUACGUUUGGUUGCCCCUCAGAGGCGAAAGGAAAGUCCCUAUUGUUGAAAACACCAUACAACUAGGACACAGGAGCCAGGGGACUCAAGCUGGAUCUUCCUCUGCAGGGAAUAGCUUUCCUGGUACCAGAAGGCGCCAUGCAAACUUCCAACAGGCCUGCCCAGUGGCGCCACUUAUGAACCAUGACCAUGAGCAUCACAGCAUAAGAAGCCUAGGGUGCAGCAGACUCCUACCUCAGUGUUGACCAACAGCUCCCAAGCUGCUCAAGAGGGAGAUCACACCCGGGUUACAUCAUGGUUCUCAGAGGAGACUCCACAGCCACAGCAGCACUGUACUGGACGUCCUUCCGCCCUCUCGUACAGCAGCACUGUAGUGUACUGAACAUCCUUUCUGUCUGAGCUGCCGCUGAGCUUUGGAAAGAUGGGUCUGACACAGGUGUGCCGUUUAGGACUGAGCACUCCAUAGUAUGUCUUACUCUCUCCAUGGUGACAAACUGUGGGUCUCUGUUAGUUUUGAUUUUAACUAUGAAAGUUUUGGGUUCUCACCUAGGAAGUCAGACACAGGGAGACAGAAGAGACAGAAAGGGAACAUGCACCUAUCACUUAGCAUGUGCACAUCAGCCCUAGGGAGCUCAGAGGACAGCUGUCAGCCAUUGUUAUUUCUCUUCUACUGUGUGGUCCAGGGAUGGAACUCGGGUACUCAGGCUUGACAACAAACCUCUUCCAUACCGAGCCAUCUUACCGCCCGUCCCUUACCUUUAUUUCAAUAAGGUGGAUUACUCAAAUGAGGAGCAAUAAGCCUGGGCAUUUUUCCAUCUAAUUUUAAUAAUGUAGUAUAAAUUUUUUCUAUUAUACCUCAGUUGGUUAUCCUAAAUUGUCUCACUGCAUAAUUCUUAUAGUGGCUAAUGGUGUUAUCUGUAAACAGUGGCUGUGCCAUGUGCGCCUUCAUUACUUCACAUGCGCUUUCUUUGUCUCAUCCCAUUGACUUGUGCAUCAGCCAUGAGAAGACACACUUCAACAUCAGCAAGACUGUUUAGUUUUCUCUCUCCCUCCCUCCCUCCCUCCCUUUCUCCCCCCCUCCUUCCUUUCUUUCCUGCCCCUUCUUUUGUUACAGCAUGGAUACCAUGCUCACAGGUCAAGGCUAGGUGCAGCCUGGUUCUAGAGUCUUCAGAUCCACCACUGAGGUGCACAAAACAGGGCUCAGAGAAUUGGAGCCAAAGCUGAGGGUGUAUUUGCAUGCAUGGCUCUUCUUCUGACCCUUAACUUCUGCUGCGGGGUGGAAGAGACUAGUUCCCCCGGCUGGCACCACCCCACUCCACAGCCACCCUGUGGGGGCAGCACUGGCCUGUCAUCUCUAAGCUAACCACCCUGCUUUCUCUGAGUGCUAUAAAGAGUAUCCAGAGGUGCAAACGUCAUCAAAGGAAAUGGAAGAUGACUCCCAAAGUGAAAGACUCGGAAACCUGCGCCUACAUUUGGUAGAACGGUGGCUGCCACGUGCCAAGCAAAACACUCGCAAGCUUGUCUUUCCAGAGCUGGCUCUGAAAUCUGCUACUGUGCACAAAAAGGCUCCCCGAACGUCCCAGGCCAUCAGGAUCCCAGCCAGAGAGUGAGCUCAGAGACGGCUGCUUUAGUUGCCAAAGUAUUUUCCAUUUCCCCUAAUACACUCAGAUCUGUGGCCACUUGGUGCUUAGUCUUUAAGUACACCAAAAAAAAAAAAAAAAAAA